UACGUAGGGUGCGAGCGUUAAUCGGAAUUACUGGGCGUAAAGCGUGCGUAGGCGGUUCGUUAAGUUCGUUGUGAAAGCCCCGGGCUCAACCUGGGAAUGGCAAUGGAAACUGGCGGGCUGGAGUAUGGCAGAGGGGGGUGGAAUUCCGCGUGUAGCAGUGAAAUGCGUAGAGAUGUGGAGGAACACCGAUGGCGAAGGCAGCCUCCUGGGCCAACACUGACGCUCAUGCACGAAAGCGUGGGGAGCAAACAGG
rnacentral:rRNA from 1 species